UGUCAUAUUUUACAGAGAUCCAGGAGGUACUGAAAAAGGGACAAUGCUUCGACUGAAUGUGUCAUCCAUGUACCAGUAUAGACCUGUUAAUGAGGCAUAUCCAAUAAUUCUUAUACUCAUGAAGAGUGUGGCAACUCCCAAGUAGUUAAGGAUGGCACUCAUUUUAAAUCAGAUCCUCACUUCUAGGAUGUUUUCCAUGUUCUUGUGAAAAGUGUUUUACAUGGCACCAUUCAGCUACAAAUACUUUGCCGGUGGAACUGUGACAUCAAUCAACUGCUCAUGCCACUGCUAAUUGGCAGAAUUUCCUUUGGGACAUGCAAACUGUUUCAAAUAUUUUACACCUGCAAGUAGUGAUGAGUGUACUGGAAGUUUUUUCGGGAUCUUGUCUGACAUCAUAGGUACAACUGGUCACUGUGCUUUCUUGGUUAUAUAAGCAGGCAUAUUGUUAAAGCAGUGACACAUGUAGCUUCAAAUGAUGCUUGACU